rnacentral:rRNA from 1 species
GACAGAGGGUGCAAACGUUGUUCGGAAUUACUGGGCGUAAAGGGCGCGUAGGCGGCUUAACAAGUCACUUGUGAAAUCUCCGGGCUUAACUCGGAACGGCCAAGUGAAACUGUCAAGCUAGAGUGCGGAAGGGGCAAUCGGAAUUCUUGGUGUAGCGGUGAAAUGCGUAGAUAUCAAGAGGAACACCUGAGGUGAAGACGGGUUGCUGGGCCGACACUGACGCUGAUGCGCGAAAGCCAGGGGAGCAAACGGG